AGGGAAACCGAGUCUUAACUGGGCGUUAAGUUGCAGGGUAUAGACCCGAAACCCGGUGAUCUAGCCAUGGGCAGGUUGAAGGUUGGGUAACACUAACUGGAGGACCGAACCGACUAAUGUUGAAAAAUUAGCGGAUGACUUGUGGCUGGGGGUGAAAGGCCAAUCAAACCGGGAGAUAGCUGGUUCUCCCCGAAAGCUAUUUAGGUAGCGCCUCGUGAACUCAUCUUCGGGGGUAGAGCACUGUUUCGGCUAGGGGGUCAUCCCGACUUACCAACCCGAUGCAAACUGCGAAUACCGAAGAAUGUUAUCACGGGAGACACACGGCGGGUGCUAACGUCCGUCGUGAAGAGGGAAACAACCCAGACCGCCAGCUAAGGUCCCAAAGUCACAGUUAAGUGGGAAACGAUGUGGGAAGGCUCAGACAGCCAGGAUGUUGGCUUAGAAGCAGCCAUCAUUUAAAGAAAGCGUAAUAGCUCACUGGUCGAGUCGGCCUGCGCGGAAGAUGUAACGGGGCUAAACUGUGCACCGAAGCUGCGGCAGCGACGCUUAUGCGUUGUUGGGUAGGGGAGCGUUCUGUAAGCCUGCGAAGGUGUCCUGUGAGGGAUGCUGGAGGUAUCAGAAGUGCGAAUGCUGACAUAAGUAACGAUAAUGCGGGUGAAAAGCCCGCUCGCCGGAAGACCAAGGGUUCCUGUCCAACGUUAAUCGGGGCAGG
rnacentral:rRNA from 1 species